UGGGGGGUGUUCGAGCUCCCUGGCGCGGGCGCCUCUGCCGUUGCUUUUUUCUCUCUGCUUUUCGUGCCUCUGUCCCUUCAGUAACGUGCUGUUACCGGCUAAAAACCGAAAUUCUCUGUCCUGCAUCGCAUGCUGUCAUUGGCGGGGGCGUGGGGGCGCGGUGGGGGGGCUGCGUUUCGGUAGUUAAACAGACCCGACCGGUCGCAGAAGAAGGCGCCGCAGCAGCUGGCAGAUUCGCCGCAACAGUAGAUUCAACUCACGGCUGCAGACGAGCCGCCUUGGCAGUCCCAAAAAACUUUUUCAAACUGAGAAGCUUUCGCAGCUUGCCGCCGCCGAGUGCUAUCGACAGUCGCCAUUACGGAGUGGUGCCCACAGAGCUUAAACAAGUCUGACGGAACGUCACUCCCGGAGAGUAAAACACGUCAGCGGGGACAGUGCCAUGGCCGUUGCCACACGGCGUUACCUGUUUAACUCGGAGUACCCACCCACGGCAUGGAUGUCCAGUAUUCGCUCCCUUCUUUCAGCUAUGCCCUCCAUUCCGGUGGCACCGGUGACGAUGGUUUUUUCGAUACGAAAAACAUCCUCAGGAUGAUCGGCCCCUUUUUGCCAACCCUCCGGCCUCUUGAAUGCGGUCCUUCCCGCUGCCGGCCUGCCUCGGUCUGACCCGAAUACCUGAUUCAGUGUUCAGGCGCCAAUUGUUGGCGUUUAGCCGGUGGAGCACCUGGGUAAAAUGACUCUUUGUUCACCAAUAUGGUUAGAUGGUCAUAAUCCACUUUAUUUCCGUGAUGCAGUGACUUAUAUGCACUCUAGAAAGAGGCAUGCUCAAAUUAAGAUUGGUUACAGGUGAUGAUUGCAAGGUUACAUGUAAUGCGUGCAUAGGUUAAUAUAACAUUCUAAGGGUCAGCCCUCCAGACCACCUACUCCAGCCCCCUUGGCUAUCUAACUCUGCCCACUGCAGCUGUGUGUGGGGUGCGCACUUAUUUACAGUUUGAUUUCCUGGGCUAGCAGCGUCCCGAGGACGUUUCUCAGAACUGUUGCUCAUGUUUAUCAUUUCUGUGUCCUCUGCUAACAAGAAUUCUCCAACAUAGGAAAACCUGUCAAAGGGGUGGUAUCUGCAGAGGGUCCUGGUCACACAUACUGGGUAAUGCCUGAAACAGGUACUAUUGAGUGUGUUCCCCAGAGAAACCUCACUUUGGCUGAAAAGGUCUAAAUCUCGAAGUUGGUUCCAUGCAAUCCAUGUUAUCUUGUAUUAUAGUUGUAUAUAUUUGUAUCAUAGUUGUAUAUUAAUUGUAUUAUAGUUUAUAAGUGGUUAUAAGUUGUUUUUCUAGUUAUGCCCUCACUACAUGGCAUCCAACAGAAUCCACACCAGCAGCGAUCCGGAGGAGUUCUACAUCAUCACCAUGAGGCGUCCACCAGAACCCUGCACCUGAUUCUUCACUGAUGCCCUGCAGUGAAAGACUGUUCCUGAUUUCCCUCCAGCUGAUGUCUACAGCCACCUCACCUACACCUGUUUCCCUGAUGCCCUACAGCAAAAGACUGUUCCUGAUGUUUCCUUCCAGAGGGAAAAGACUUUUUCCUGAGUUCCCACAAGAACUGUUCCUGUUUCACUGACUCUUCUUCCACGUUCCUGUCCUGCCCACACCUCACCUCACCAACCUGCAUGGGACCAGAGAAACACAUCACCUUGGGAUACAGCCGGGGACCACGAAGGACUUAAGAACUCCUAAUCCAUGGACACAUUUUCCUAUCUUUGGAAAAGAAGAAUGUUUGUAGGAAGGUGGAAAUAGUCUAACCAAGGGGUGGAAUGUAUAGGGUUAACACUCCAGGGGGAAUAAACCCUGAACCUGAC